UCCAUGCCAUUGUCCCCAAGACCUUGAGGACCCCAUGGAGAUGCCUCCAAAGUCCCAAGAACCCCAUGGCAACGUCCCCAAGACCCCAAGGACCCCAUGGCAACGUCCCCAAGGUCCAUGCCAUUGUCCCCAACACCUUGAGGACCCCAUGGAGAUGUCCCCUAGACCCCAAGGACCCCAUGGUGGUGUCCCCAAGACCCCACAGACCCCAGGGUGAUGUCCCCAAGGUCCAUGGCAUUGUUGUCCCCAAGGACCCCAUAGAGGGGUCCUGUCCCCACCAGGGGUGUCCCCAAGACCCUGAAGACCCCAUGGAGGUGUCCCCAAGGUCCAAGAUGAUGUCCCCAAGGUCCAUGCCAUUGUC
rnacentral:lncRNA from 1 species